AUGGCCCCUCAGCAGGAGAGCAACAAGGACGGCGGCGCUGCCACCACGCCGACGAUGGAGGAAGAAGAGGAGGACGAUGAGGAGCAUCAUCGUCAUGGCGAACGGCCGCUGCUCUCGGCGUGUGAGCAGGAGCAGGAGCAGCAGCAGGAUGCCGACAAGCCAUUGCCAUUGCCGGCGAAGAGGAGGAGGAGCAGCAGCAGCCUGAGCAGAUCAUCAAGAUCAGGCGAGCAGGGGUGGCAGGAGGAGGCGGCCGGGCCCGGCGCCGCCCGGUCGCUGUCCUUCUCCAGGCUCUUCAACAGCUUCAGGAUGGUCACCACCUCCUCCUCUACCUUGGACAUUGACGAGCUAGCUGCUGCUGAAGACGGCUGUGCAGAGCAACGGCAAUGGCCAUCGCAGUCCAAGCGGCAACAUCCGAAGCCACCGGUGUGCCGGACGCAGUCGAUGCCGAUGACGAGCAUCUCCAGGAGGCUCCCCGCUCAUGGCGGCAAGAAGCGGGUGGCGGACUCGAGCUCCUUGCGCCGGUUCCGGGUGUCGUCGGUGCAAUUGCCAUUGCCGGAGUCGGCGCCGCCACCCUCUUCGCCAUCGCCGUCGGAAGAAGGAGAGGAAGAGGAGGUGGGGGAGGAGGAGGCGGUGUGCCGGAUCUGCAUGGUGGCGCUUCUGGAGGAGGAAGAAGAAGGAGCAGGCGACGGCGUGCUGAAGCUGGAGUGCCGGUGCAAGGGCGAGCUGGCGCUGGCUCACCGCCGCUGCGCCCUCAAGUGGUUCGGCAUCAAGGGCGACCCCAACUGCGACGUCUGCGGCCACGACGUCCUCAACCUCCCCGUCACCCUCCGCCGCGUCGCCGCCCCUCCCCCACCACCACCUCCUCCCCUCACCGCCGGCAAUGGCAAUGGCAGCACCAGCCAAGAGGAAGAACAAGAAGCAAGAGAGAGAAGAGGGUUGAGGGGCGUGUGGCGGCAUGGCACGGUGAUCCUGGUGACGGUGAGCAUGCUGGCCUACUUCUGCUUCCUGGAGCAGCUGCUGGUGGGCGACCACGGCAACGCGGCCGCCGCCCUCGCCGUCUCGGCGCCCUUCGCCGUCGUGCUCGGCACCUUCUCGGCGCUCACCACCGCCGGGAUGGCCUCGUCGAGAAGGUACGUGUGGGCAUACUCGGCGCUGCAGUUCCUGCUGGUCGUCCUCUUCACCCACCUCUUCUACCGCUACGUCAGGCUCCAGGCCGUCAUCGCCAUCAUCCUCUCCGCCUUCGCCGGCUUCGGCGUCGCCAUCUGCGCCAACGCCGUGCUCCUCCAGGCCGCCCGCUGGAGGGCCGCCGCCCGCCGCCCCCCGCCGCCGCCGUCGGACCCGGAUCACCUCCAUCAGACCCCUCAGCCAUAG
rnacentral:rRNA from 1 species